rnacentral:rRNA from 1 species
ACGAACGCUGGCGGCGUGCCUAAUACAUGCAAGUAGAACGCACAGUUUAUACCGUAGCUUGCUACACCAUAGACUGUGAGUUGCGAACGGGUGAGUAACGCGUAGGUAACCUGCCUGGUAGCGGGGGAUAACUAUUGGAAACGAUAGCUAAUACCGCAUAAUAUUAAUUAUUGCAUGAUAAUUAAUUGAAAGGUGCAAUUGCACCACUACCAGAUGGAUCUGCGUUGUAUUAGCUAGUAGGUGAGGUAACGGCUCACCUAGGCGACGAUACAUAGCCGACCUGGGAGGGUGAACGGCCACACUGGGACUGGGACACGGCCCAGACUCCUACGGGAGGCAGCAGUAGGGGAUCAUCGGCAAUGGACGAAAGUCUGACCGAGCAACGCCGCGUGAGUGAAGAAGGUUUUCGGAUCGUAAAGCUCUGUUGUAAGAGAAGAACGGGUGUGAGAGUGGAAAGUUCACACUGUGACGGUAUCUUACCAGAAAGGGACGGCUAACUACGUG